CAGACACGCCCCUUUGGAACAGCGUGCCGACGGAGAGGCUUAGCUAGGAAGGUCAAAGUCGUCAGCACAUCCCAUAAGUGUCGAUGGCAAGAACAGUAAAAGACCAAGGAUACAAGCACAUUGUACUGCAUAAAGUUGCGUACAACGUUGUACAAUGACAACAAGGGGACUCAGAGUCCAUGCAUUGCCUCUGAUGGGAACGUCGACCUCCCCAGCAUGGCCGUUACGUAGGCACGUCGGUUAGCUGGGCUGCUCCAGCAUGUUGGCGGAUCUAAUCUUCAAAGCUAUGCUCGCUCCUCUGUAUACAUAUUAAGCUCCUCCCACAAGAGAUCCCCUCGAGUUGUCGACGAGAUCACCCGAGGCGCCGGGAAUGACAAAGGUUUGGAGUAAUGAUUGGACGUCGUUCCUCGAUGUCGUCAUUUCAUGCAGACGUCAAGAUGCAGAGGUACAGCAGAGAAUGGAAAAUGUGUUUGAGAACGUCACAGACUUUCAUUGUGUAAUAACCAUGAGUUAGUGUCAUUCAUUUCGGUUUUACUGCAAAUACUGCCCCAAAUAAAACUGAAUAAAAAAAUAAUAAAAUGAAAUGAAAGGAAUGAAAAAGCAAAAGAUGAACUAUUUUAUUUGUGAAAUCCUGCUCUACUUAUGAUCCUGCUGUUAUACUGUACGCCUAUUUUUAUACAUCACUGUUAUAAAGUGCUUUUUUUGUGAGUUUUCUUGAGUUUAACUGCGGUGGAACCUCCUCCGUCCUCGCCCCUUGCUCCUCGGUGUGGCUUUACUGUAAGACAAUUGAGAUUCCCGAUAAUAAGGUGAUGUCAGAACGACUUCCUGGUAAAAGCAUUGAGGAACAAGAAGGAUGGAAUUCUAAAUUCAAUUUAAAAAACAGUUCUUGGUCGUAGACAUCCAUUCCUUGUUAAUUCUUCCGUAUAUGUAUCAAGUGAACGGAAACAGUAUGCAUUUUUCUUACCUGUCCUGUCAUGUUUUAAAAUGUCAAUAACCAUAUAAUAAUAAAACUAUCCAUUGUGUUAGUGUG